UACGUAGGGUGCGAGCGUUAAUCGGAAUUACUGGGCGUAAAGUGUGCGCAGGCGGCCGCGCAAGUCGAGUGUGAAAUCCCCGGGCUUAACUUGGGAAUUGCGCUCGAAACUACGUGGCUGGAGUGUGGCAGAGGAAGGUGGAAUUCCACGUGUAGCGGUGAAAUGCGUAGAGAUGUGGAGGAACACCAAUGGCGAAGGCAGCCUUCUGGGCCA
rnacentral:rRNA from 1 species